UCACUCUCAGUGCUCUCAAGGAAUCAAU
rnacentral:sRNA from 1 species